rnacentral:rRNA from 1 species
GAUGAACGCUAGCUACAGGCUUAACACAUGCAAGUCGAGGGGCAGCGGGAUUGAAGCUUGCUUCAAUUGCCGGCGACCGGCGCACGGGUGAGUAACGCGUAUCCAACCUUCCGUACACUCAGGGAUAGCCUUUCGAAAGAAAGAUUAAUACCUGAUGGUAUGAUGAGAUUGCAUGAUAGCAUCAUUAAAGAUUUAUCGGUGUACGAUGGGGAUGCGUUCCAUUAGGUAGUAGGCGGGGUAACGGCCCACCUAGCCUACGAUGGAUAGGGGUUCUGAGAGGAAGGCCCCCCACAUUGGAACUGAGACACGGUCCAAACUCCUACGGGAGGCAGCAGUGAGGAAUAUUGGUCAAUGGGACGAGAGUCUGAACCAGCCAAGUAGCGUGAAGGAUGAAGGUCUUACGGAUUGUAAACUUCUUUAUAAGGGAUAAACCCUCCACGUGUGGGAGCUUGUAUGUACCUUAUGAAUAAGCAUCGGCUAACUCCGUGCCAGCAGCC